rnacentral:ncRNA from 1 species
AAAAAAGCGAUGAUGGAGAAAAGUAGCUUAUAAAAGCUCACCAGGGAUAAAAUGCCGUGACUGGAAGCAUUUUAGAGUAUUUUUUAAGUGAAGUUCACCUCCUGAGCUGGCAUCGGGAACAUUUGCAGACACUGCAAAUCGAAAGAUGCCCCCGGCACAGCCGUUAUCUGAAUGAAGCGAACAGCACCUUCUUUGAAAGGCGGCUGUUAAUAAGGGUGGUACCGCGAAUCCAAAACCUCGUCCCUUAA